GAAGCUUAGGGAGCAGGGCAUCAGGCACAUAUAAAUACUUUAGACACGGACAACACCUUUGCUUAGCACACCCCCUACGGGACCCCCCAGCAGUGAUUAACAUUAAGCCAUAAGUGCUACACUUAGACUUAGUCAAGGCCAAUAGGGUCGGUAAAACUCGUGCCAGCCACCGCGGUUAUACGAGAGACCCAGCUGAUAAACACCGGCGUAAAGAGUGGUUAAAAGACAAUAAAACUAAAGCUAAACACCUUCAAAACUGUUAUACGUAGCCGAAGGCGGGAGACACCCCUACGAAAGUGGCUUUAAAACCAUGAACCCACGAAAACUAGGACACAAACUGGGAUUAGAUACCCCACUAUGCCUAGCCUUAAACACAAGUGACACCUCCACAACUGCCACUCGCCCGGGGACUACAAGCACUAGCUCAAAACCCAAAGGACUUGGCGGUGCUUUAGACCCACCUAGAGGAGCCCGUUCUAUAACCGACAAUCCCCGUUUAACCUCACCCUUUCUCGCCAUCCCCGCCUAUAUACCGCCGUCGUCAGCUCACCCUGUAAAGGCCCCGUAGUAAGCAUAACUGGUUCAACCCAAUACGUCAGGUCGAGGUGUAGCACACGAGAGGGAAAGAAACGGGCUACACUCCCUGAUACAGGAAAUACAGACGAUAACUUGAAACAAUUAUCUGAAGGUGGAUUUAGUAGUAAGGCGGAAAAUAGAGAUUUCCCCUGAAACCGGCCCUAAAGCGCGCACACACCGCCCGUCGCUCUCCCUGAGCCCAACACAAGCCUUAAACUAUAAAGACACUGCCCCAAAGGGGAGACAAGUCGUAACAUGGUAAGUGUACCGGAAGGUGCCCUUGGAAAAA
rnacentral:ncRNA from 1 species